rnacentral:rRNA from 1 species
AGCGAACGCUGGCGGCAGGCUUAACACAUGCAAGUCGAGCGGGCACUUUCGGGUGUCAGCGGCGGACGGGUGAGUAACGCGUGGGAACGUGCCCUCUGGUUCGGAAUAACUCAGGGAAACUUGAGCUAAUACCGGAUACGCCCUUUUGGGGAAAGGCUUGCUGCCGGAGGAUCGGCCCGCGUCUGAUUAGCUAGUUGGUGAGGUAACGGCUCACCAAGGCGACGAUCAGUAGCUGGUCUGAGAGGAUGAUCAGCCACACUGGGACUGAGACACGGCCCAGACUCCUACGGGAGGCAGCAGUGGGGAAUAUUGGACAAUGGGCGCAAGCCUGAUCCAGCCAUGCCGCGUGAGUGAUGAAGGCCUUAGGGUUGUAAAGCUCUUUUAUCCGGGACGAUAAUGACGGUACCGGAGGAAUAAGCCCCGGCUAACUCCGUG